rfam:Clostridiales bacterium PH28_bin88 ph28_926, whole genome shotgun sequence.
CGAAUCCCACCUGGGAAAGGCCUAGCCAGCCACCAGUAGCGAGUCUUGGGAACUACUGAGUAAUCAGUGGGACUAAGCGUAGACAGCGAGGUAGUAGGCCGAAAGCGAAAGCUGAAGGGAUUGAGCCCCGAAAUCAUAAAUUGGGAGGGCCGAUGCUGUCGUAGAAGCAUAAGGCAACACAGCGACCGCCGCAAUGGCAAGGAGGUCAAUGCAUCCCCGGGGUCAGAGACCU